CCUACGUUGUUCCUCCUUGGGGCAUCUUGCACAAUGGGGGAAACCCUGAUGCAGCGACGCCGCGUGAGUGAAGAAGUAAUUCGUUAUGUAAAGUUCUAUCAGCAGGGAAGAAAAUGACGGUACCUGAGUAAGAAGCCCCGGCUAACUACGUGCCAGCAGCCGCGGUAAUACGGAGGGGGCAAGCGUUAUCCGGAUUUACUGGGUGUAAAGGGAGCGUAGACGGCAGUGCAAGUCUGGAGUGAAAGGCGGGGGCUCAACCCCCGGACUGCUCUGGAAACUGUACGGCUGGAGUGCAGGAGAGGUAAGUGGAAUUCCUGGUGUAGCGGUGAAAUGCGUAGAUAUUAGGAGGAACACCAGUGGCGAAGGCGGCUUACUGGACUGUAACUGACGUUGAGGCUCGAAAGCGUGGGGAGCAAACAGGAUUAGAUACCCCAGUAGUC
rnacentral:rRNA from 1 species